GACGAACGCUGGCGGCGUGCUUAACACAUGCGAGUCGAACGAUGAAGCGGGUGCUUGCACUCGUGGAUUAGUGGCGAACGGGCGAGUAACACGUGAGUAACCUGUCCUUUUCUUUGGGAUAACGGCUGGAAACGGCUGCUAAUACUGGAUAUUCAGGCUGCAUCGCAUGGUGUGGUUUGGAAAGGUUUUUUCUGGGAUUGGGUGGGCUCGCGGCCUAUCAGCUUGUUGGUGGGGUGAUGGCUUACCAAGGCUUUGACGGGCAGCCGGCCUGAGAGGGUGGUCGGUCGCACUGGGACUGAGAUACGGCCCAGACUCCUACGGGAGGCAGCAGUGGGGAAUAUUGCACAAUGGACGAAAGUUUGAUGCAGCGACGCCGCGUGGAGGGUGUAGGCCUUCGGGUUGUGAACUCCUUUUUCUCGCGAAAAAGGCACAGUUUUGGCUGUGUUGAUGGUAGUGGGGGAAGAAGCGCCGGCUAACUACGUGC
rnacentral:rRNA from 1 species